rnacentral:snRNA from 1 species
AUACUUACCUGGCAGGGGAAAUACCAUGAUCACGAAGGUGGUUUGCCCCAGGUGAGACUUACUUACCCAUUGCACUCUGGAUGUGCUGACCCCUCUUAUUUCUCCAAACAUGGGAAACUUGGCUGCAUAACUUGUGGUAGAGGGGGACUGCAUUCAUGCUUUCCCUUG